rnacentral:rRNA from 1 species
GAUGAACGCUGGCGGCGUGCCUAAUACAUGCAAGUCGAGCGAACAGACGAGGAGCUUGCUCCUCUGACGUUAGCGGCGGACGGGUGAGUAACACGUGGAUAACCUACCUAUAAGACUGGGAUAACUUCGGGAAACCGGAGCUAAUACCGGAUAAUAUAUUGAACCGCAUGGUUCAAUAGUGAAAGACGGUUUUGCUGUCACUUAUAGAUGGAUCCGCGCCGCAUUAGCUAGUUGGUAAGGUAAAGGUUUACCAAGGCAACGAUGCGUAGCCGACCUGAGAGGGUGAUCGGCCACACUGGAACUGAGACACGGUCCAGACUCCUACGGGAGGCAGCAGUAGGGAAUCUUCCGCAAUGGGCGAAAGCUUGACGGAGCAACGCCGCGUGAGUGAUGAAGGUCUUCGGAUCGUAAAACUCUGUUAUUAGGGAAGAACAAAUGUGUAAGUAACUAUGCACGUCUUGACGGUACCUAAUCAGAAAGCCACGGCUAACUACGUG